rnacentral:rRNA from 1 species
GACGAACGCUGGCGGCGUGCUUAACACAUGCAAGUCGAACGGAAAGGCCCCUUUGGGGGUGCUCGCGUGGCGAACGGGUGAGUAACACGUGAGUAACCUACCCUUGCCUUCGGGAUAGCUUCAUUAAACUGGGGCUAAUACCGGCUGGUAAUCCUUGCUGCAUGGUGGGGGUUGGUAAGCUUCUGCGGUUUUGGGUGGACUCGCGGCUUAUCAUCUUGUUGGUGGGGGAGUGGCUUACCAAGGCUUUGACGGGUAGCCGGCCUGGGGGGGCGACCGGCCAAAAUGGGACUGGGGAACGGCCCAGAAUCCUACGGGGGGCAGGAGGGGGGAAUAUUGGACAAUGGGCGGAAGCCUGAUGCAGGAAAGCCGGGGGCGGGAUGACGGGCUUCGGGGUGGAAAACGCUUUCAGCAGGGGAGAAGCUGGUGGUGACGGUACCUGCAGAAGAAGCACCGGCUAACUACGUG